GUAGGUGUACCUGCGGAAGGAUCAUUAAUGAGAACGUGCCCUUCGGGGUAGAUCUCCCACCCUUUGUAUAUUAUACCUUUGUUGCCUUGGCAGGCCCGUCUUCGGACCGCUGGCUUCGGCUGGCCCGUGCCUGUCAGAGGACCCCAAACUCUUUUGUUAAUAUUGUCUGAGUACUAUUUUAAUAGUUAAAACUUUCAACAACGGAUCUCUUGGUUCUGGCAUCGAUGAAGAACGCAGCAUCUGACUGACU
rnacentral:misc_RNA from 1 species